ACAGAAGAAUAUGUUCCCAAGUGGACGCGAACUCUGAAAGGAAGGAGGAACCUAAAUAUAUAAAUUGGAACUAAAAAUUUUCUCUCUGUGAAAUGCUCUUCAAUGGAAGUGAUGCUAUUUGGAUCCUCUGAUUAUGCGUCUCUCUCCUCCUUUUCUCCUCUCCAACGCAAACAGAAACCCCAAUUUCUCUCCCAAGAGGCAUGGAGAACUAUUGACCGUGCAUAUGUUGACAAAAAUUUCAAUGGACAAAGUUAGUUAAGGUACAGAGAAAAUGCAUUGCGUAAUGAACCAAUGAACACCAGAGAAGAGACAUGUAUAUCCUUUAUUUAUUUAUUAUUUUCAACAAUUUAUAUUCAUGGCUUGUAUAGUUUGUAGAUUACUGCUGUACAGAACAAACGCCCUGUGUGCAUCAGUGAUUUUGUUUUAUUUUUUCUAUAGCCAAAGUUCUCUCUAUGCUUGGCAUCCUUGAGAAGGUUCUAAGCCUCAUUUCCGCGGCCUCUGUGAGAUAAAUCUAAAGAUAUAACUUAUUAUGCUCUAAUAACCCUUACCUAAUGUAGUGUUACUAUAGGAAAAUUAUUAUUAUUAUUUUUUUGGUUAAGUAUUAUUAUUAUUAUUUUAGUUUUUUUUCCCCUUCGCUUCAGUGAAGUAUUCUGAAUUCUGAUUGCAUCCAUUGGUAGAUGCACCUAUCUUAAAUUUGAUUGUGUCCACUGCUAGAUGCACCUAUCUUGAAUGAAAUUCAAUUCUUGGUCUAAUCAAAUACCCAAUACUCCAUUUCCUGCUACUUUUUGGUGUCACUAUAUAUACAAAUCUGAUGCUUCAAUCCAUGAAAUUGUGUUUAACAACAUUUUGAGCUAGUAAGGUUCUCCAUUUCAUUACCGAUUUUCUGCAUGAAGAUAUUUGUAUGGAUGGCUUCAAUCAGGAUGAACUCGGCAUCAUGGGUUUGGGAACAUGAAGCUGACAAAGGAUGCUUUUCCCUUAAAGUUAACUCAUGGAGUUGACAAAAUUCACUCCACUCAUGAAAGGUGUUAGGCUGAACUAUAAAUGAAGUUGCAGCAAAGGUGUUACUUCUUUGGUGUUUCAGGAAUCAUUCCCCGUCUGAGCUGGGGGUAACUUGAUGUCAUAAUACCUCUCUAUUUUGUGAUAAACCAAUUGCCUAUCAUGAAAAGAUUGAAAAUGCUGUGAGGCUUCUCUCUUUAUAGAGGGCAUCAACUGCCUUGAAGAGUUUGAGCAUAAUGGGCCGAUCAAAAAAAAAUAUAUAUAUAUAAAAAAAGAAGAAGAAAAGUUUGAGCAUAAUGGAUUUGAUUUUAAGCUUUUCUAACAAGAUGGUCACACACAUCCAAUCAGAUAGAGGCAUUUAGGAUGUGUUACUUGUGUAUAUAUUUGAUAUGUAGCUAUCCAGAAAAUACACUCUGGUUUAUCUUUCAGGGAAGGUACACUUCUUAAUUUAGGCGGCAGUUUUGGUAGAUGGCGUGCCCUGAUUACUUUUAAUCUUCUACUCAUUGGAGAUGCUCUCAAGUCUAGUAGUGGCAGGGAGGGAAUGGCACGAUGAUGGUCUAGUAGAGUUUGCCUGGAAGCUGCUGCUCCGCUUCAUUAGUUUUGUAACUUUGCUAGGAUUGUACGAAACAAGUUCAAAAGGUGGUAAAGUAUAUCUGUUAGGUUAUCAUGCUUGCCACUGCCAAUUUCCUAUUAUCUCAUUUAUUUAGGGAGCUUAAGGAAGAAAAAUAUGCUGUGUGCAAAGCUAUACUGCCCAUACUUCAAGCUGAAGAGUAUGAAAGAUUUGUGAAAGAGUGGAAGUAAGUAUCUUGAAGAAGAUGCGAGAAUAAUGAAGGAUGUGCCUAGGUGGAAAGUUGGUGAAUGUGUCUAUAACUUUGGAAGAUGGAUGCCUCCUGCAAUCGGUGAGCUCAAUCCUGACGUCUGGGGUUUGUGCUCAACACCGAUCAUGAAGCUCUCAAGUACAUCAAUAGUCAAUCCCAUCUUAACAAAUGCCAUGCUAAAUGGGUGGCCUACUUGCAACAAUUCACAUUCUCUUUGAGCCACAAAUCGGGGGUUCUUGAUAAGGUGGCCGAUGGGUUGAGUAGGCGAACGGCUUUCUUGAUUGAAAUGACAAAUGAAGUAGUGGGUUUUGAUGAAUUUCGCACAUUCUAUGCAAGUGAUCCUUACUUUUCCAAGAUCUUUGAUGCUUUGCAAAGGGGGGAUAGGACGGCUUAUCCAAGUUACAUGAAAACGGACGGAUUUCUCUUCCAUGGCCUUAAGUUGUGUGUUUCUAAUUGUUCCUUGAGGACACAUUUGUUGGUUGAGCAUCAUAAGAUGGGGCACUUUGAUAAGGACAAGACCCUUGGGUUGCUUCAAGAUGUUUAUUAUUGGCCGGGCAUGACCAAGGAUGUGUAAAGUCAAGUGAAGCGUUGUCAAAUUUGUCAAAUGAGCAAGGGGAGUGCCACUAAUGCGGGCUAUAUCUACCUUUACCGGUGCCGGAUGCUCCUUGGCAGUGCAUUGGUAUGGACUUUGUGUUGGGCCUCCCUCCUACUCAAAGGUGGAGUGAUUCUAUCAUGGUAGUGGUGGAUCAUUUCUCCAAGAUGACACAUUUCAUACCUUGCAAGAAGACCAUGGAUGCUACAAACAUUGCUAAUCUUUUCUUCAAGGAAGUCUAUAAGUUGCAUAGGAUGCAUACUUCUAUUACGUUCGACAGAGAUGCUAAGUUCCUUGCUCACUUUUGGAGAACUUUGUGGAAGAAAAUUGGCACGGACUUGAGUUCUAGUACUACAUUCUAUCCAUAAACCGGUGGUCAAACGAAGGUAGUGAACCGUAGCCUUGGCAACUUGCUGCGGUGCCUUGUGAGGGAUCACCCCAAGAGUUGGGAUGGCAUCCUUUGGUUGAAUUUGCUUACAAUUCAUCUAUCAACCGCACCAUAAAUACUUCUCCCUUUGAAGUAGUUUAUGGGACAAGGCCUUCAAGUGUGGUGGAUUUGGUGCCUUUGUCACUCUCAAGGAAAUGAAGUGUUAAGGCAGAAGAAAUGACCACGUUCAUGAAGAGCAUUCAUUCUCAAGUGAGGGCCCAAAUUGAAAAGUCUAAUGCGAAGUAUAAAGCGGUUGGUGAUGUGCAUAGGCGCAGAGUGGUGUUUGAAGUAGGGGAUCUCGUGUGGGUGGUAUUGAGCAAAGAGAGAUAUCCCCAUGGCGCCUACACUAAGUUGAGUGACAAGAAGAUGGGACCUUGUGAGGUGUUGCGCAAGAUUAACGACAAUGCUUAUCAAGUCAAGCUACUCCCUCAUUUAGGCAUCUCCAAUGCCUUUAACGUGCAGCACCUUAUUCCCUACUUUCCGAAUGCCUCUUCCAUUGAUGAUACCUUUACCCCUUGUAGAAUAGUUCCUUGAAAGUUGUAAUCUUGUACUUAGGUUUUGUGUUUUUCAUUUCUAGUAUUGGUUGUAUUUUGUUGUUUUUACUUGAGGACGAAGUCUUUUCUUAAGAGAGGGAGUACGGUGUAGUGUCAUAUGCAUAGCAUGUGUUAGAUAGUGUAUCCUAUAAAUAGAGGAGUACUACUUCACUUGUAACUAACUUGGACAUAUUGAAUUUGAACUGAAUUGAGAAUU